rnacentral:snRNA from 1 species
AGAUGUGAAGCUGAUCUGGCUGAGACAUCAGUCACCCAAAUCAGUGGGUUGAUUUGACUGAUCUGGCUGGCUGGCUGGGCAGGUGUCCGUCACUGUUCCAUGAAUGUUGCUUGCAGACUCAAUGGGAGAGUAAAACCAUCCUUGUCGGGAGCAUGUAUAGUUUUUUUGUUACCCUUGAUGGAGACACUCUUCUGCUAGAAUAGCACUAGCCAUACCACUUAGACUUAUAUAUCGUGUGUAUGUGGAGUAGAACCUCCAAACAAGCCUUCAGAAUCUCAUGUAACAUGAAGAUGCAUUCAUGGGCUUUCUAUG